ensembl:lncRNA
AGGAGGAGCAACUCACAAACUACAUGCAACAUCCAACACAGACAAAGUAGGCAUUUAUACUUGGAGCGAUAGAGGAUUAUUAUUCAGCAUCAGAAAAAAACAUUAUUCAUCAUGAACGGAAAUAUACUUUGUUGUAUAUUUUUGCUUGGAUAUCUUUCAUCAUCAGGACAAGCUCAAACAACAACAACUGUGGUUCCAUCAACGAUAAUGACGACUGUGGCACCAACAACUACGACCGCAACCACAGCUCCAACAACCACAACUCAAGCUCCAACAACCACAACUUCAGCUCCAACAACCACAACCGCAGCUCCAACAACCACAACCGCAGCUCCAACAAUCACAACCGCAGCUCCAACAAUCACAACCGCAGCUCCAACAACCACAACUCCAGUCCCAACAACCACAACUGCAGCUCCAAUACCCACAACUCCAGCUCCGACAACCCCAGCUCUAGCAAUCUUAACUCCAACAAGCACAACUCCAACAACCACAUCCGCAGCUCCAACAACCACAACUCCAGGUCCAACAAGCACAACAACAGUUCCAACAACCACAACCAUAGCUCCAUCAACCACAACCACAACCACAGCUCCAACAACCACAACCACAGCUCCAACAACCACAACCAUAGCUCCAACAACCGCAACCCCAACAACCACAGCCACAGCUCAAACAACCACAGCUGCAGCUCCAACAACCAUAACUCCAGCUCCCACAACCACAACUCCAGUCCCAACAACCACAACCGCAGCUCCAGCAACCACAGCUGCAGCUCCAACAACCACAACUGCAGCUCCAACAACCACAUCUCCAGGUCUGACAACCCCAACCCCAGCUCCAGCAAUCCUAACUCCAACAAGCACAACUCCAACAACCACAACUCAAGCUCCAACAACCACAACCACAGCUCCAACAACCACAACCGCAGCUCUAGCAACCACAAUCACAGCUCCAACAACCACAGCUCCAACAACCACAACCAUAGCUCAACCAACCACAACUCCAGCUCCAACAACCACAAUUGCAGCUCCAUCCACCACAACCGCAACUCCAACAGCCACAACUCCAGCUUCCACAACCACAACUCCAGCUCUGACAACCCCAACCCCAGCUCUAGCAAUCCUAACUCCAACAAGCACAACUCCAACAACCACAACUCCAGCUCCAACAACCACAGCUCCAGCGCCAACAACCACAACCACAGCUCCAACAACCACAAUUGCAGCUCCAUCCACCACAACCGCAACUCCAACAGCCACAACUCCAGCUUCCACAACCACAACUCCAGCUCCGACAACCCCAACCCCAGCUCCAGCAAUCAUAACUCCAACAACCACAACCACAGCUCCAAACACCACAACUCCAGCUCCAACAACCACAACCACAGCUCCAACAACCACAACCACAGCUCAAGCAACCACAAUCACAGCUCCAACAACCACAACCGCAGCUCCAACAACCACAAUUGCAGCUCCAACAACCAUUACUCCAGCUCCAACUACAACACCAGGCUUAACAACUUUGGCACAUCUACAAAUUGAGAUAUCUUCUGUUGGAGAGAUCAGCAAUGGAACAAUCACUCAUCUUAUUCAACAGUUUUUUAGAGAACAGCUCCUGAAUGGAACAGCUCACACCGUCACUGUGACCAAAAUUCAGAGGGUUAGUGUGAGCCCAUAGAUGUAUAUGCAAUUUAAUGGUCAACGACAAGCUUGUAAAGAUAGAAAAAAAAUCCUGAUGAUUAUCAUUUUACAUGCUGUGAAAUGCACUUUGCUCAAAUGUUUCAUCAAACGUCUUCAAGACUCUUUUCUCAUGUGUGUGAAUUUCCACAAAUCCCCCUCUAAAAUCCUCAAAUGGACCCCCAGUAUGUUGAGUAGUAGACUUCUGCUUUUGCUUUAAGUGUCAGAUUACAGCGUAUUUGCACUUUACAAUGGAAAACUCAGAAUAUGUGUUGUGAACAAAUGUCAGUAAUUACCACACAUUGUAACUUGAGAGUUGGCUGUCAUGAAGACAAGAUGGUGACCAAGAAACUAGCAAACCAGCUCACGCCUCUUUUCUAUUGUGUAUAAAUGAGGAAAUGUUUCUUGUGAAACAGUAAUAACCUUGGUGAGUGUCUCAUACCAAGGACAUGACUGUAUCCCAAAUUAGGGAGUUGAAUUGACUGUCAGGUCUUUCUGACAGAAUAAGUUCAUUUUAUGUUAGGAAUUGUUUUAUGUAUAUAGAUUGUGUCUAAUCAUUUACCUGAAAACCAGGUUAAUGAAGCACUGCGUAUUUUCUGCAUGAAAGAAGAAAGAAGCUGUGACGGGAAAAAUACCUUUUGGGAUUUAGUACCUUGGAAUAUUGAGUAGAGAAUGAAUUCCAGAGAAAGGUGUGUGUGUGUGUGUGUGUGUGUGUGUGUGUGUGGGGGGGGGGGGUGCUUGUUUUUUUUUUUUAUUGUUUUUUUCAUUGGUUUUUUUUUUUUUUUUACUUGUCUGUAUUCCCUAUGAUUUUACACUCUUCACACUGUGGUUUUGUUUUACCUCAUCUUACUUUUUUGUUUUAUGUCCAUGUAAACCUGCUUUUCUUUGUUUCACUAUAGUGGAAAAAAUGCAAAUGAAGUGUGAGGUAUGUCAGUAAGGUUAGUCUUUAUUUGUUUUGGUAACACUUUAGAUCAGUGUAUGAAACUAGUUCAUGUUUUAAGGCCCUGGAACUAAUGAAUUCACCAACAGACAAUCGACCUUUUUUGCCUUAAGAAAAAUAGUCUAAAUAAUUAUUGUUGUACCAAUAUAUUAUUUAUUUUCACAAUGUACUAUGAAACCUUCAACUGCUAUUGCUGUUACCAUAACCAAAUCUUGUUUAACCUUCAUAGAUUCAGGUUAGACAUGUACACUUUCCUAACAGAUCGUUUCCAGUUUCCCUGUACUAAAAUAUAAUAUGUUGGAAAAUUUGAUUAAAAAAAAAACAAAAACAGGACAUUUAAAGCUUUUCGCAUUUUCUUUCUUUAAUACAUUUUUAAUGACACUUUAUUCAAUUUUGAAUCAACCAUUUAGAAUUAUCAAUAAAACUUUACCCAAGUAUGUCUUAAAACAUUAUUCAGUUUUGCAUCAAAGAGUCGUUAUCAAGUAUGUAUUAUUAAUAAUAUGUGACACAAUUUUUAUCUAUGCUUAAAACAGUUGACAUUACCAAAAUGAUGAUGGUGAGUUACUGAAAAUGUGUGAUAAUUAUUAAAAUACAUUAUUUAAAAUCAGGUUGAAUAACUUACCAUCAAGCUAAAACAUCCACUUGUUGUUAUAGUUCUAUUCUUCAUUUUUUUCCUGCAGCAUAGAAUCUUUCCAUCACAGUGUAAAUUAUGCUACUGUGCAAACCCUAUGUAAACAAAACCCAAAAAUACACCAGCGCUAAGCAAUUCCACA